rnacentral:lncRNA from 1 species
AAAGCCAAAUCAUAAGAGAGUCAAAUCCCCAAAAGCAUAAUUAAAUUUUGCUCCAAACUUCAAACAAUAGCUUUCAGGUUUCUUCUUUAUCAAUGAUAUAAAAUCCAUCACUUCGCUUAAUCUGAUAAAGUGAUGUGAAGCCAGGCACUAUCGCUUAAUCAGUGAACUCGUGUGCAUUAGAGAAGUUUGCGCAUCAAACGAUGCUGCACAAAGUGAUUCCACCAAAAAGAAUCGAUCCC